rnacentral:lncRNA from 1 species
GGGAGACACCAUGACAAGGACGCCCGGACAACCUGGGGCCAUCACAGACGGACUCACACAGGAACAGCCUGCAACACGGUUUCGGAAAGCACCCUCCUCCAAAGGCAGAGGCACAUUCCUUUGAUUGGCACAAGCUAUUUCUGACAAUGGAUCUGCGAUGACAGGGGCUCUCGGCAAUCAGGAAGUGUGUGUGUGUGUGUGUGUGUGCGUGUUGUGGGGGAGGGAUGUGUUAGAUGUGAUCAAAGACUGGCCUGCUGAAAAGAAGAGAAUAUGGGAUCUUAAAGCCUGGAGGCAGACUUGGAGGAGGAAGAGAAGGACCAAGUCAAUGAGAGACAGAUGAGCCAUGCUCCAGGAUACAGGCUUCCUUUGUUCUCCCAGCAUCCACUUUGCAGCCCAGGCUGACCUUGGACUCUCAGUGAUCCUCCUGCCUCAGCCUCCCAAGUGCUGACUGAGAAGACAGGUGUGCAGUACUGCAAUCAACUCUCAGCCAACCUUAAGAAGCGCUGGGGAGCUGCUACUGUUCUAGCUGCCUUGGGCAGAUUACCUCACAGUGCUGCGAGGGCACCUGUGUUGUCUUCUUGUCACAGAUGAACCUGGAGCCCAGGCACAUUAGGUGUUAGUCCGAGGUCAUGCAGCUGGAAGGUGAGGGGUCAGGCUUCCUGGACCCAGAGCCGUCCUCUCCACCUCCAGGUCAGGGCCAGCGAAGGGUCCAGUCCCC